CGGAAAGUGCUUCCUCUUUGGCAAAGAGCAAAAGCCUGUCAAUACAAUGGAGCAGCUCUCAAGAUUUUUUUCUGCCUCUCUCUUACAAAUAUAAUACCACAUUUCUGUCGAUAUUAUUGAGAUGCGGUGCGUAAACGCAGCCCCUCUCUCCCAUUUCUUUUAACCUGUUAAUGUGUAUUGAUUUGGGCCCACCCAGCAGGAGUGAAUGCUGUAGGGUUCUUCUGUUCGACUGGUGAGAGCUGACCCUUCAAGCUUUCAAGAGCCAGAGUUUCUCUUCUUUUAUCAAAGCGCACAGCAUCUAUCAUGAAAGCAUUUUUCUGUGAGUCCAACCAUCUUGAAACUGGUGUCUGGCAACUGUGCAGGCAUUUGAGCAGGUAAAUUUAUUUAUAUGAUUUGUUUGUGUGUUAUAACUCUUAGUUUAGCAUCAGUUUGACACAAAAUGUCCUCUGCUGAAAAUGUCCUGCAGUAAACAUGAAUCUGAACUCCAGCAUACGCUCAUCGUUUACCGUCUGACAUGGUGCUAAAGGAGGAACACACGCUUUUCUCUGCAGUGGGCUUCCUGUAGCGUGUGCUCCUCUCAUCCAUAGCAGCACUAUCUGAGAUUCCUGUCUUAUAUCCUAUUUGACAUGAAAGGCAGAGGGAUAGGACCGCCGAGCUCCGAGAGGAAU
ensembl:lncRNA